GUCUACAGCCAUCCACCCUAAACGUGUCCAAUCUCAUCUGGUCUCAGAAGCUAAGCAGGGUUGGGCCUGGUUAUUACUCAGAUGGAAGACAAAUCUUCAAAAGAGACUGCUUAGAGA
rnacentral:rRNA from 1 species